GGGGGUAUAGCUCAGUUGGUAGAGCGCUGCCUUUGCAAGGCAGAUGACAGCGGUUCGAGCCCGCUUAUCUCCAC
rnacentral:tRNA from 1 species